rnacentral:rRNA from 1 species
AGAGUUUGAUCCUGGCUCAGAAUUGAACGCUGGCGGCAUGCCUAACACAUGCAAGUCGAACGGCAGCAUGAGGUGUAGCAAUACACCUUGAUGGCGAGUGGCGGACGGGUGAGGAAUGCAUCGGAAUCUGCCCAGUCGUGGGGGAAAACGCAGGGAAACUUGCGCUAAUACCGCAUACGACCUUCGGGUGAAAGCGGGGGAUCUUCGGACCUCGCGCGACUGGAUGAGCCGAUGCCGGAUUAGCUUGUUGGCGGGGUAACGGCCCACCAAGGCGACGAUCCGUAGCUGGUCUGAGAGGAUGAUCAGCCACACUGGGACUGAGACACGGCCCAGACUCCUAUGGGAGGCAGCAGUGGGGAAUAUUGGACAAUGGGGGCAACCCUGAUCCAGCAAUGCCGCGUGUGUGAAGAAGGCCUUCGGGUUGUAAAGCACUUUUAUCGGGAACGAAACAUUGUCGGCCAAUACCCGGCAAGACUGACGGUACCCGAGGAAUAAGCACCGGCUAACUCCGUGCCAGCAGCCGCGGUAAUACGGAGGGUGCAAGCGUUAAUCGGAAUUACUGGGCGUAAAGCGUGCGCAGGCGGUUUGUUAAGUCUGCUGUGAAAUCCCCGAGCUCAACUUGGGAAUUGCAGUGGAUACUGACAGGCUGGAGUACGGUAGAGGAAGGUGGAAUUCCCGGUGUAGCAGUGAAAUGCGUAGAGAUCGGGAGGAACACCAGUGGCGAAAGCGGCCUUCUGGACCAGUACUGACGCUCAUGCACGAAAGCGUGGGGAGCAAACAGGAUUAGAUACCCUGUAGUCCACGCCCUAAACGAUGCGAACUGGAUGUUGGGUACAUUACGGUACUCAGUGUCGAAGCUAACGCGUUAAGUUCGCCGCCUGGGGAGUACGGUCGCAAGACUGAACUCAAAGGAAUUGACGGGGCCCGCACAAGCGGUGGAGUAUGUGGUUUAAUUCGAUGCAACGCGAAGAACCUUACCUGGCCUUGACAUCUGUCGAAUCCUGCAGA